GACAGAGGGUGCGAACGUUGCUCGGAAUCACUGGGCGUAAAGCGCACGUAGGCGGCUUUCUAAGUCAGGGGUGAAAUCCUGGAGCUCAACUCCAGAACUGCCUUUGAUACUGGAGAGCUAGAGUCCGGAAGAGGUGAGUGGAACUGCGAGUGUAGAGGUGAAAUUCGUAGAUAUUCGCAAGAACACCAGUGGCGAAGGCGGCUCACUGGUCCGGUACUGACGCUGAGGUGCGAAAGCGUGGGGAGCAAACAGG
rnacentral:rRNA from 1 species